ensembl:lncRNA
UGACAAUUGGGUACUUUUUACACCACUGUUUCUUUUACACCUGCUAUGUAAAAGAAACAGAAGAAUGCAAUGCUGGUCAACGCUAUCUGGUACCCUAACCACUACUGUAACCAUUUUAAAUGUCAACUUCAACGGGCUAGCCUUCCUCUCCUCUGAAGACCCAGUGAGGGUGGAGCUCAGUCAGAGAGCUGUUGAGGGGCUGGUUAGGAAUAACACUUCUACAGCCAGAGAGGAGCAGUCAAGAAAUGGAACGGCAAGGCCACAGAACAUGACAUAAGCAGAGCUGUGGGAGACCUCAAGCCCCUGGUAGAGUCGGGGGUGCUCUUUACCACUCCACCACGCCUUCAGCAGGCUUGAAAAGUGGGAUUGAUCUAUUAGAUCCAUUUGUUUGUUUCAAUUUUCAGUAGUUGAAUAUUUUGACGUAAUGUUGAUUUCAACAUUUUUCAUCUUCAACAAAUGGGUGGUUGAAAAGUGAUACUAAACAUACAUACCAUUGUGGAAGAUUUACUGCAUUUACACUAAGAUGGAC